GAAUAGUAAAGUGACUACUUUUCC
rnacentral:siRNA from 1 species